rnacentral:rRNA from 1 species
UACGUAGGGUGCAAGCGUUGUCCGGAAUUAUUGGGCGUAAAGAGCUCGUAGGCGGUUUGUCGCGUCUGCUGUGAAAACCCGAGGCUCAACCUCCAGCCUGCAGUGGGUACGGGCAGACUAGAGUGCGGUAGGGGAGAUUGGAAUUCCUGGUGUAGCGGUGGAAUGCGCAGAUAUCAGGAGGAACACCGAUGGCGAAGGCAGAUCUCUGGGACGGUACUGACGCUGAGACGCGAAAGCGUGGGGAGCGAACAGG